GAUGAAGAACGUAGCGAAAUGCGAUAAGUAAUGUGAAUUGCAGAAUUCAGUGAAUCAUCGAAUCUUUGAACGCACAUUGCGCCCCCUGGUAUUCCGGGGGGCAUGCCUGUCCGAGCGUCAUUACAACCCUCAAGCUCAGCUUGGUGUUGGGCCCCGCCGCCCCGGCGGGCCCUAAAGUCAGUGGCGGUGCCGUCCGGCUCCGAGCGUAGUAAUUCUUCUCGCUCUGGAGGUCCGGUCGUGUGCUCGCCAGCAACCCCCAAUUUUUUUCAGGUUGACCUCGGCUCAGGUAGGGAUACCCGCUGAACUUAAGCAUAUCAAUAAGCGGAGGA
rnacentral:misc_RNA from 1 species